GGCAGAAUGCUGAUGACAUCACGGAACUUAGAGGCCAGUAAAGGAAGGGACUGUUCAGAGAGUUGGCCUUCCAAGCAAGGUUGGCCUUGGCUGUUCUGGGCACACUGUACCAGUGGGUGGAUUAAUGAGGUGCCUUCCUGACCAGGCUGCCAGUGAUGGGGCAGAAAAUCACCAGCAAGAAAAGGGCAGAAGGCAGAGAGGGAGGAAGGAGAACAGG
rnacentral:lncRNA from 1 species